GAAACCUGGUUGAUCCUGCCAGUAGUCAUAUGCUUGUCUCAAAGAUUAAGCCAUGCGAGUCUAAGUAUAAGCAUUCUUAUUGUGAAACUGCGGAAAGCUCAUUAUAUCAGUUAUAGUUUAUUUGAUUGCAACAAUUCUACAUGGAUAACCGUAGUAAUUCUAGAGCUAAUACAUGUCUUGAAGCGAUUGCUCAG
rnacentral:rRNA from 1 species